rnacentral:rRNA from 1 species
GGAGUAUAACAUGUGCGCGAGUCACUGGGAUCUGCUAAACCCAGAGGCGCAGUGAAAGCGUGGGGCUCGCCUGGCUUAACGCCUGGCGCGAGCCGCGAAGGGAGGACUGCCGGUUGUUACAGACCAGUGCUGCCGGCCAGCACUCCCGGGUCGCCUCGGCCGCAGGCGCACCCAGAGCGUACACGUUGGGACACGAAAGAUGGUGAACUAUGCCCGGCCAGGACAAAGUCAGGGGAAACCUUGAUGGAGGUCCGCAGCGAUUCUGACGUGCAAAUCGAUCGUCACAGCUAGGUAUAGGGGGAAAGUCUAAUCGAACCAUCUAGUAGCUGGUUCCCUCCGACGUUUCCCUSAGGAUAGCUGGCGCCGAGUUGGAGUGGGUCAGUCUCAUCCGGUAAAGCGAAUGAAUAGAGGCCUUGGGGCCGAAACGACCUCAACCUAUUCUCAAACUUUAAAUGGGUGAGAUCUCCGGCUUGCUUGAGCGAAGCCGCGAGAAGACGGAUGAUGGUCCAAAGUGGGCCAAUUUUUG